ACUUAACCCAAAUGGCCGAAUUAAAGCUAGGUCUUGUACAAAUCUGUCAAAAUUAGAGAUUUUAGAGUGGGUUUCUACAUUUCUUCCUCCCCUGUUUUCGACAUAUCUUCGUGGGUUUGUAUACUUUGUUGCUGAUGGUAUCGGCAUCUCUCAUUUCUGAUUUUGAUUCAUGUCAUUCUGUUUCUCUUGCAAAAGCAUUUAGGGUUUCAAGAUCCAACACUAUGAUUAAUUGAAAAGCUUCAAUUACUAACCAAUUUAUAAAGAUGCACAACCUUCAAGUAGUCUUGGUCUUAUGUUCAACUAAGAAGUAAUCUUCCAUCACCAACAAAAUCAGUUCAAUUUUUGAAAUUUCUGAGAUGGAGGAGUACGUCAAGCACCCAGGGAAGUUUGCACUUGUUGGAGGAAAACGGCUCAAGGGAAUGAUCAUGACAGGUGGACUUGGGACUGGUAAGACUCUGCUUUCCAAGACUAUUGCAGCAGAAGCCAGAGUACCUUCAUUUAUUCAGAGCAGAUUCAGAAAGGAAUUGAGGGUCUGCCAAUGGUAUUCUCUGUGUGCAACAUUAUAAAAGGGAGAAGGAGAAAAUGUAGAAGCACAAGCACUAGAUAUCUUGGAGCCUGCAAAAGCUGUAGUAGUCGACGCUUGCAGAGUGGCCUCGGUGAAACUCUGCAUUUCUAAUUUAUCAACUGUUACUGGAAAAUUAUGCAGUGAAGGCCUCUCAGAGAGUCUCAAGCAAUUUGAGAUUAUGGAAAGAUUGUUUACUGAACAGCGUUUCAAUGGGAUGAUCCUAGUAUUUUGGAAAAUUUACUCUUCAACAAACUAAUUAUUUUUAUGACAUAACUAAUUUUGUACCUCUUGAUGAUGGUUUAAAAAAUGAAUGCUAAAUUUUCAAUGGGAUGAUAUCCUUGUAUCCUUGAAAUAAAUCUUAUUCCCCAACAUACUGAUU